GUUUGGUUUCUAUUUUUCUAUUCUCUCUUUUCUUCUUUAUCAAAAAAAAUUUUGAACUUUGUGUUAAUUGUUAAAAUAUUUUUAAUUUCGUUGUGAUGUCAGACUUAAAGGAAUUUGUUUGAUUUUUCGUCACAGUAUUGAUAACGAUUAUUAUUUCCGAUUUCUAUCGGAUGCGGAAGAGACGUCUAACUAUAUUCAAGUGAUCAGAGAUUGACUCUGUUUAAUACAUUUCUAUUAAUUUUAAACAGCAUAUCAUGACACAAACAGGG
rnacentral:lncRNA from 1 species